UACGUAGGGGGCUAGCGUUGUCCGGAAUUAUUGGGCGUAAAGAGCUUGUAGGCGGUUUGUCGCGUCUGCUGUGAAAAUCCGGGGCUCAACUCCGGACUUGCAGUGGGUACGGGCAGGCUAGAGUGUGGUAGGGGAGACUGGAAUUCCUGGUGUAGCGGUGGAAUGCGCAGAUAUCAGGAGGAACACCGAUGGCGAAGGCAGGUCUCUGGGCCACUACUGACGCUGAGAAGCGAAAGCAUGGGGAGCGAACAGG
rnacentral:rRNA from 1 species